rnacentral:rRNA from 1 species
UUUUCCUACGGGGGGCAGCAGUGAGGAAUAUUGGUCAAUGGCCGGAAGGCUGAACCAGCCAAGUCGCGUGAGGGACGACUGCCCUAUGGGUUGUAAACCUCUUUUAUAAGGGAAGAAUAAAUGCUACGUGUAGCAUGAUGCCUGUACCUUAUGAAUAAGCAUCGGCUAACUCCGUGCCAGCAGCCGCGGUAAUACGGAGGAUGCGAGCGUUAUCCGGAUUUAUUGGGUUUAAAGGGUGCGUAGGCGGAAUGCCAAGUCAGCGGUAAAAUCGCGGGGCUCAACCUCGCUCCGCCGUUGAAACUGGC